UACGUAGGGUGCAGGCGUUAAUCGGAAUUACUGGGCGUAAAGCGUGCGCAGGCGGUCUGCUAAGUCAGACGUGAAAUCCCCCGGCUUAACCUGGGAACUGCGUCUGAUACUGGACGGCUUGAGUAUGGGAGAGGGAUGUAGAAUUCCAGGUGUAGCGGUGAAAUGCGUAGAUAUCUGGAGGAAUACCGGUGGCGAAGGCGGGUCUCUGGGCCGUAACUGACGCUGAGGAGCGAAAGCAUGGGGAGCGAACAGG
rnacentral:rRNA from 1 species